UACGUAGGUGGCAAGCGUUGUCCGGAAUUAUUGGGCGUAAAGCGCGCGCAGGUGGUUUCUUAAGUCUGAUGUGAAAGCCCACGGCUCAACCGUGGAGGGUCAUUGGAAACUGGGGAACUUGAGUGCAGGAGAGAAGAGUGGAAUUCCACGUGUAGCGGUGAAGUGCGUAGAGAUGUGGAGGAACACCAGUGGCGAAGGCGACUCUUUGGCCUGUAACUGACGCUGAGGCGCGAAAGCGUGGGGAGCAAACAGG
rnacentral:rRNA from 1 species